ensembl:lncRNA
GGGGGAAUUGGGAUUUCUGGGAGCAGAUGGGAUUGUCAGAAUUUCUUCAGUAACAGGCAUUUCUGCUGUUUAUUGUUCAUAAAUCCUUUCAGAGCAAGCUAUAUUGGUCAGGAUUCCUUUUGGAGCAAGCAGGUUUGGUCAGAAAUCCUUUGGGAGGAGAUAAGAGUGGUCAGGAUUUCUAUGGGAGUGGGUUGGAUUGUUAAGAAUUUCUUUUGGACCAGAUGGGAUUGGUUAGAAUUCCUUUUGAAGAAGCAGCAUUGGUCAGAAUUCCUUUUGGACCAGAUGGAAUUGGACCGAAUUCCUUUGGGAGUAGAUGGGAUUGCUCAGAACUCCUUUUGGAGCAAGUGGGAUUGGUCAGAAUUCCUUUGGAGCAGGUGGGAUUGGUCGGAAUUACUUUCGAGCAGGUGGGAUUGGUCAAAAAUCCUUUUGAGUAGUUGGGAUUGGCCAGCAUUCCUUUUGGGGCAGAUGGGAUUGGUCAGACCUCCUUUUGAGCAGAUGGGAUUGAUCACAACUCCUUUGGAGCAGGUGGGAUUGGUCAGAACUCCUUUGGAGCAGGUGGGAUUGAUCAGAACUCCUUUUGGAGCAGACGGGAUUGGUCAGAACUCCUUUGGAGCAGGUGGGAUUGGUC